GGGAUCCGCCUGGAUUUGCAAAGCUUCAGGGGUCGACGACGUCGUUAACCCGAAGUCGAUUUCGGACGAAAAUCCAAUCUGUUUUUUAAAGCUCCAUCGGAUGGGCAGGUCUGAAUCCUCGGCAUAUGUGGGGUUUAGAUGUAGGACCGUGUAUUUGUUGAUCCAUAUUUGGAUUGUUUUGAAUCAAAUUCCAAUGUUGAUGUUUAGUUUUUUGCUCUC